AUAACUACAAAUACAAGCAAGGCCUUGAAAAAGAAAAAAUCUUAACUUACACUAUCAUUAGGUAUACCACGCAGGGGUCACGCAAUGUCUCCGCUAUUCUGUCUCACGGCUGUCUCCGUAUGUCUUGUCCGUCUCAACGUUACACGGGCGGUCUUUAUAUAGUCUACCGCGCGUCGAGAUCAAGACCAAUCUAGUAGUUUCUAGAAUACUACUUGAGAACAGAACAAGUGAUCAACCAGACAGAGCUAGAACCUUCUCUAAA